UACGUAGGGGGCAAGCGUUGUCCGGAAUCAUUGGGCGUAAAGAGCGUGUAGGCGGCUCGAUAAGUCCGCUGUGAAAGUCCAGGGCUCAACCCUGGAAGGCCGGUGGAAACUGUCGGGCUAGAGUCCGGAAGAGGCGAGUGGAAUUCCUGGUGUAGCGGUGAAAUGCGCAGAUAUCAGGAGGAACGCCGGUGGCGAAGGCAGCUCGCUGGGACGGUACUGACGCUGAGGCGCGAAAGCGUGGGGAGCGAACAGG
rnacentral:rRNA from 1 species